GAUGAACGCUGGCGGCGUGCUUAACACAUGCAAGUCGAACGGGAAUUAUUUUAUUGAAACUUCGGUCGAUUUCAUUUAAUUCUAGUGGCGGACGGGUGAGUAACGCGUGGGUAACCUGCCUUAUACAGGGGGAUAACAGUCAGAAAUGGCUGCUAAUACCGCAUAAGCGCACAGAGCUGCAUGGCUCAGUGUGCAAAACUCCGGUGGUAUAAGAUGGACCCGCGUUGGAUUAGCUUGUUGGCAGGGUAACGGCCUACCAAGGCGACGAUCCAUAGCCGGCCUGAGAGGGUGAACGGCCACAUUGGGACUGAGACACGGCCCAGACUCCUACGGGAGGCAGCAGUGGGGAAUAUUGCACAAUGGGGGAAACCCUGAUGCAGCGACGCCGCGUGAAGGAAGAAGUAUCUCGGUAUGUAAACUUCUAUCAGCAGGGAAGAUAGUGACGGUACCUGACUAAGAAGCCCCGGCUAACUACGUG
rnacentral:rRNA from 1 species